UACGUAGGUGACAAGCGUUGUCCGGAUUUACUGGGCGUAAAGAGCGCGCAGGCGGUCGUUCAAGUCGAGUGUGAAAGCCCCCGGCUCAACUGGGGAGGGUCAUUCGAUACUGAUCGACUCGAAGGCAGGAGAGGGUAGUGGAAUUCCCGGUGUAGUGGUGAAAUGCGUAGAUAUCGGGAGGAACACCAGUGGCGAAGGCGACUACCUGGCCUGUUCUUGACGCUGAGGCGCGAAAGCGUGGGUAGCGAACAGG
rnacentral:rRNA from 1 species